GUGAUUUCUGACGUGGCAUCAUCAAGAUUCACACAUUGCAUGCAUGCAUUUGUCUAUGCAUCUUUGAGUUGUUCUGAUCGACCUCUCAACAAGCUAAUUUCUCUCCCUGACCUGGCAUUGCAUACCUGCAUGGUUGCUUGCCAGGAAGAACAGAGAGAUGUAUAUAUGUGUGGGAAUCUUGAUGAUGCUGCAUCGGAAAUUAA
rnacentral:pre_miRNA from 1 species